rnacentral:rRNA from 1 species
AGAUUGAACGCUGGCGGAAUGCUUUACACAUGCAAGUCGAACGGCAGCACGGGGGCAACCCUGGUGGCGAGUGGCGCACGGGUGAGUAAUACAUCGGAACGUAUCCUAGAGUGGGGGAUAGCCCGGCGAAAGCCGGAUUAAUACCGCAUACGCUCGAAAGAGGAAAGUGGGGGAUCGUAAGACCUCACGCCCAAGGAGCGGCCGAUGCCGGAUUAGCUUGUUGGUGAGGUAAAAGCUCACCAAGGCGACGAUCCGUAGCUGGUCUGAGAGGACGACCAGCCACACUGGACUGAGACACGGCCCAGACUCCUACGGGAGGCAGCAGUGGGGAAUUUGGACAAGUGGGGGAAACCUGAUCCAGCAUUCCGCGUGAGUGAAGAAGGCCUGGUUGUAAGACACUUGGUAGGAACGUAAACGGUUGGUUAAAUACCGUACAGACUACUGACGGUACCUAGAAGAAGAAGACACGACAACUACGU